rnacentral:rRNA from 1 species
GGGGGACUGCUGAGCGCUUCGGCGCACCCAGAACCCUUUGUGACUUAUACCUAUUUGUUGCCUCGGCGUAGGCCGGCCUCCUCACUGAGGCCCCCUGGAAACAGGGAGCAGCCCGCCGGCGGCCAACUAAACUCUUGUUUCUAUAGUGAAUCUCUGAGUAAAAACAUAAAUGAAUCAAAACUUUCAACAACGGAUCUCUUGGUUCUGGCAUCGAUGAAGAACGCAGCGAAAUGCGAUAAGUAAUGUGAAUUGCAGAAUUCAGUGAAUCAUCGAAUCUUUGAACGCACAUUGCGCCCUCUGGUAUUCCGGAGGGCAUGCCUGUUCGAGCGUCAUUUCAACCCUCAAGCCUGGCUUGGUGAUGGGGCACUGCCUUCUAACGAGGGCAGGCCCUGAAAUCUAGUGGCGAGCUCGCUAGGACCCCGAGCGUAGUAGUUAUAUCUCGUUCUGGAAGGCCCUGGCGGUGCCCUGCCGUUAAACCCCCAACUUCUGAAAAUUUGCCCUCGGAUCAGGUAGGAAUACCCC